rnacentral:tRNA from 1 species
CGGGAUAGCUCAGCUGGUAGAGCAGAGGACUGAAAAUCCUCGUG